rnacentral:rRNA from 1 species
GACGAACGCUGGCGGCGUGCUUAACACAUGCAAGUCGAGCGGUAAGGCCCUUUCGGGGGUACGACGAGCGGCGAACGGGUGAGUAACACGUGGGUGACCUGCCCUCCAGCUCUGGGAGUAAGCCUGGGAAACCGGGUCUAAUACCGGAUAUGACUCCAUGACGCAUGUUGUGGGGUGGAAAGCCUUGUGCGGCUGAGGAU